GACGAACGCUGGCGGCGUGCCUAACACAUGCAAGUCGAGCGGAGACAGUGAGUAGCUUGCUAUGAGCUGUUUUAGCGGCGGACGGGUGAGUAACGCGUGAGCAACCUUUCCCAGACAGGGGAAUAACACACCGAAAGGUGUACUAAUACCGCAUAAGACCACGGGAUCACAUGGUUCUGGGGUAAAAGAAUUAUCGGUUUGGGGUGGGCUCGCGUCCGAUUAGGUAGUUGGUGAGGUAACGGCCCACCAAGCCGACGAUCGGUAGCCGACCUGAGAGGGUGAUCGGCCACAUUGGGACUGAGACACGGCCCAAACUCCUACGGGAGGCAGCAGUGGGGAAUAUUGGGCAAUGGGGGGAACCCGUACACCGACGNAACGCCGCGUGGAGGAAGAAGG
rnacentral:rRNA from 1 species